rnacentral:misc_RNA from 1 species
GAUGAAGAACGUAGCGAAAUGCGAUAAGUAAUGUGAAUUGCAGAAUUCAGUGAAUCAUCGAAUCUUUGAACGCACAUUGCGCCCGUCAGUAUUCUGGCGGGCAUGCCUGUUCGAGCGUCAUUACGCCCCUCAAGUCCCCUGUGGACUUGGUGUUGGGGAUCGGCGAGGCUGGUUUUCCAGCACAGCUGUCCCUUAAAUUAAUUGGCGGUCUCGCCGUGGCCCUCCUCUGCGCAGUAGUAAAACACUCGCAACAGGAGCCCGGCGCGGUCCACUGCCGUAAAACCCCCCAACUUUUUAUAGUUGACCUCGAAUCAGGUAGGACUACCCGCUGAACUUAAGCAUAUCAAUAAGCGGAGGA